AGAGCCUACCCUAUUUAUUCCCAGCAUGGACCUAAAUCCACUUCAGCCAAAAAUGAACAAAGAAAUGAUGAAGAACAGAGCCUGUUUCUUUCUCAGUGGUGUACUCAGGAGGGACAGUUCUCUGCUCCACUGAAGCUAGGUAUGGCCAUGUGACCCAUGUUGCCAGUGAAACAGGAGGAGAAGGGACAUCUGGGUGGAAACAUUUAAGAGUCAAGUGUAUUUCUCCAUACUCUCUUUCUUUGGCUUUGGCAGUGAUGAAGGUCAAUCCAAUUACAGUUGAUUCUUGAACAACAGAGGUUUGAACUGUGUGGGUCAACCUAUACGUGGAUUUUCUUCUGCCUCUGCCACCUCUGAGACAGCAAGACCAAUCCUUCCUUUUCCUCCUUCUCCUCAGCCUAUACAAUGUAAAAAUGACAAGGAUGAAGACCUUUAUGAUGAUUCACGUCCACUUAAUGAACAGUAAAUAUAUUUUCUCUUCCUUAUGAUUUUCUUAAUAACAUUUUCUUUUCUCUACUUGUUUUAUUCUAAGCAUACAGUAUAUAAUACAUAUAUGAUAUGGUUUGGCUGUGUCCCCAUUCAAAUUUCAACUUGAAUUGUAUCUCCCAGAAUUCCCACCUGUUGUGGGAGGGACCCAAGGGGAGGUAAUUGAAUCAGGGGGCCAGCUUUUCCCUGCUAUUCUCCUGAUAGUGAAUAAGUCUCAUGAGAUCUGGUGGGUUUAUCAUGAGUUUCCACUUUGCUUCUUCCUCAUUUUCUCCUGCUGCUGUGAUGUAAGACGUACCUUUCACUUCCCACCAUGAUUCUGAGGCCUCCCGAGCCAUGUGGAACUGUAAGUGCAAUUAAACCUCUUUUUCUUCCCAGUCUUGGGUAUGUCUUUAUCAGCAGUGUGAAAAUGGACUAAUACAGUAAAUAGGUACCAGUAGAGUGGGGCAUUGCUGAAAAGAUAUCUGAAAAUGUGGAAGCAACUUUUGAACUGGGUAACAGGCAGAGGUUGGAAGAGUUUGGAGGGCUCAGAAGAAGACAGGAAAAUGUGGGAAAGUUUGGAACUUCUAGAGAUUUGUUGAAUGGCUUUGACAAAAAUGCUGAUAGUGAUAUGAAAAAUAAGGUCCAGGCUGAGGUGGUCUCAGAUUGAGAUGAGGAACUUGUUGAGAACUGGAGUAAAGGUGACUCUUGUUAUGUUUUAGCAAAGAGACUGGUGGAAUUUUGCCCUGCCCUAGAAAUUUGUGGAACUUUGAACUUGAGAAAGAUGAUUUAGGGUAUCCGGUGGAAGACAUUUCUAAGUGGAAAAGCAUUCAAGAGGUGACUUGGGUACUGUUAAAAGAAUUACAUUUUAAAAGGGAAACAGAGCAUAAAAUUACAGAAAAUUUGCAGCCUGAUGAUGCAGUAGAAAAGAAAAACCCAUUUUUUGAGGAGAAAUUCAAGCUGGCUGCAGAAAUUUGCAUAAGAAGCAAGGAGCCUAAUGUUAAUCUCCAAGACCAUGGGGAAAAUGUCUCCAGGCGGUGUCAGAGACCUUCAUGGGAGCCCCUCCCAUUAUGGGCCUUGAGGCCCAGGAGGAAAAAGUGGUUUCAUGGGCUGGGCCCAGGGUCCCUGUGCUGUGUGCAGCCUAGGGACUUGAUGCUCUGUGCUUCAGCUGCUCCAGCCAUGCUGAAAGGGGCUGAUGUACAGAUUGGACUGUGGCUUCAGAGGGUAGAAGGCGCAAACCUUGACAGCUUCCAUGUGGUGUUGAGCCUGCGGGUGCACAGAAGUCAAGAACUGAUGUUUGGGAACCUCUGCUUAGAUUUCAGAAGAUGUAUGGAAAUGCCUGGGUGCCCAGGCAAAAGUUUGCUUCAGGGGUGGGGCCCUCAUGAAGAACCUCUGCUAGGGCAGUGCAGAAAGGAAAUGUGGGGUCAGAGCCCCCAUACAGAGUCCCUACUGGGGCACUCCCUAGUGGAGCUGUGAGAAGAGGCCCACCAUCCUCCAGACCCCAGAAUAGUAGAUCCAAUGACAGCUUGCACUGUGUGUACUGUGUGCACUGUGUGCCUGGAAAAGCUGAAGACACUCAACGCCAGCCUGUGAAAGCACCUGGGAGGGAAGCUGUACCCCACAAAGCCACAGGGGCGGAGAUGACUAAGACCAUGGGAACCCACCUAUUGCAUCAGCAUGACCUGGAUGUGAGACCUGGACUCAAAGGAGAUCAUUUUGGAGCUUUAAAAUUUGACUGCCUCGCUGGGUUUUGGACUUGCAUGGGCCCUGUAACCCCUUUAGUUUGGCCAAUUUCUCCCAUUUGGAACAGCUGUAUUUACCCAAUGUCUGUACCCCCCAUUGUAUCUAGGAAGUAACUAGCUUGCUUUUGAUUUUACAGGCUCAUAGGUGGAAGGGACUUGCCUUGUCUCAGAUGAGACUUUGGAUUGUGGACUUUUGGGUUAAUGCUGAAAUGAGUUAAGACUUUGGGGUCUGUUGGGAAGGCAUAAUUGGUUUUGAAAUAUGAGGACAUGAGACUUGGAGGGGCCAGGGGCGGAAUGAUGUGGUUUGGCUGUAUCCUCAUCUCAACUUGAAUUUUGUCUCCUAGAAUUCCCAUGUGUUGUGGGAGGGACCCAGGGAGAGGCAAUUGAAUCAUGGGGGCCAGUCUUUCCCCUGCUAUUCUCAUGAUAGUGAAUAAAUCUCGUGAGAUCUGAUGGGUUUAUCAGGGGUUUCCACUUUUGCUUCUUCCUCAUUUUCUUUUUCUGCCACAAUGUAAGAAGUGCCUUUAGCCUCCUGCCAUGAUUCUGAGGCCUCUCCAGCCAUGUGGAACUGUAAGUCCAAUUAAAUCUCUUUUUCUUCCCAGUCUCAGGUAUGUCUUUAUCAGCAGUGUGAAACUAAUACAGUAUAUAAUAUACAAAAUAUGUGUUAAUUGACUGUUUAUGUUAUUGGGAAGGCUUCUGGUCAACAGUAGGCUAUUGGUAGUUAAAUUUUUGGGAAGUCAAAAGUUAUAUGUAGAUUUUUGACUGCAUGGGGGUUGAUGCCCCUAACUUCUGCAUUCUUCAAGGGUCAACUGUAGUUUACUUUUUGAGAGUUAAAAAAUUAUCUAACCAACUUAUAAAUCACCAAUCACAUCUUGCCAUUAAUUAUCAACAAUCUCCUUUAAGAUAAAGUAUAUAUGCCAAUGUAGUGUAAAAGAACUGAAAUUUUGAUGCUUACAGCACUUGGCUCGUGCAUUUGUAUCAAAAUUUGCCUGACUUUUUAUGAGGGAGGCCUGCUUUUCACACCUCAGUUUAUUUAAUACGAGGCAAGUUGAAAGACAACACUCAUUCUAGGUGAUUCUGUGGUGCCAUGAAAUUUAAGAUAAUUUGGGAAAAAGGAUUAGUCAGUUUUAAGCAAGAGUCACAUCUUCUGAGCUUUUGAUUAUCAGUGUAGUACCUGAC
rnacentral:lncRNA from 1 species